AGAGCGUGUGAUGAUCAACAAGGGACUUAAUACUGAUCAUGUAUGAUGUCACCUUUUGUAAUGAUCUGAUGCUA
rnacentral:snoRNA from 1 species